rnacentral:rRNA from 1 species
UAGGGAAUUUUCGGCAAUGGGGGAAACCCUGACCGAGCAAUGCCGCGUGAGUGAAGACGGCCUUCGGGUUGUAAAGCUCUGUUGUAAGGGAAGAACGGCAUAGAGAGGGAAUGCUCUAUGAGUGACGGUACCUUACCAGAAAGCCACGGCUAACUACGUGCCAGCAGCCGCGGUAAUACGUAGGUGGCAAGCGUUAUCCGGAAUUAUUGGGCGUAAAGGGUGCGUAGGCGGCGAGAUAAGUCUGAGGUAAAAGCCCGUGGCUCAACCACGGUAAGCCUUGGAAACUGUCUGGCUGGAGUGCAGGAGAGGACAAUGGAAUUCCAUGUGUAGCGGUAAAAUGCGUAGAUAUAUGGAGGAACACCAGUGGCGAAGGCGGUUGUCUGGCCUGUAACUGACGCUGAAGCACGAAAGCGUGGGGAGCAAAUA